GGUCCCCAGAUAUUCUUGGGCUAAAACUUCCAUAAGCCUUCACCACUAGCCAGGUUGGCCAGGAUUUCUGGGAGUUGAAGUCCAGGACCAUCUGGGAAUUAAAGAGUUACACAGCAGUAUGGAAAAAGGGACAGUUGCCUAAAGCCAUCUGAUCCAUAGCCUGAAGGAGAUGGUUCCGGACUGAAUUAGAUGCAUGGCGAUACAAUGGAUGACAAGCCAGAAGGAAAACAAAAACCUGCCGGGCAAUUACAAUGACCUUUGGAACGUAACGUGGGACUGCACUGUACAUGGGAGAUUUAGAUGGAGCUGUGUGAUACCAGUGAUGUCCAUUAUACUUUCUUCUGCUACAGAAGACAAAGAAGCUGACUGAAGAGUGGUUGGGUUAAAAUAAAUUUCAAGGAACAAAAGUUAGAGCA
rnacentral:lncRNA from 1 species